GAGGCCAACAGUCACGCGAAGCCACUUUGAGAAUCCAUUUCGAGGGGACCUUUCACGUUGCCUUCCCUCAGAAACUCUAUUUCAUUUGCAUACCUAUCUAGCAGGGCUGUUGCUAGUAUAAAUACCCCCUAAGACUCAGUGCAAUCUAGGACUUUGGAUAAUUGAAAUACAGAACUCCUUUGUUCAGCUGCGUGCUAACAAAUUCAGAGAGUGAUCUAUACCCCUUUGCUCUUAUGAUUUCCUCACGGGAUUACAUAGGUGGCGGCUUCAUCCGCUCCCAAUUGGUGCUCCUACUCCCUUCAAGGUAUUCCUUGAUUGAUUGGAGGUAGUGUUGGUUGGUUCUUUGAGAGUGUGGUUGGGCGAAUCCUCGAUACAGGUUGCCGGUUAAAGACGGUGGUUGGCUUCGAGUUUUAUUUGCCAGGUUGCACUAGUUAUCGCUGCUUGCAGCAAGUUAUCCGGUUGUUCUUCAGCUAGUUAUCGGUGUUCUUCCUACAUCGUGAAGAUCAGGACAACGUGCCGCAUCAGACAUGGGCUAUCUUUAUUAUUCUCUCUCUCUCUCUUUUCUUUUUUCUUAAUUUUUUUCACAGGGAGGCGGGCAUCUAGUACCCAUUGUUUUAAUUAUUUGGACACUUGUCCGUCUUUUACUCCCUUUUAUUCUUUUAUAUUUUUGCAUAGCCACAUGUAUCCUUUGAAUACAAUAAAUGAUUAGAGAGGUAAGAACUUAGAUCAUUAAAGACAAGGGUUAUCCUAUGGGGUUUUUGUUGGCAUUUACUCUAAGUGUAGGAAUAAUGCAUAUAUGAACUGGAGUGUGUAUGUGAUCUUGAUCUAGAAAGCAUGACAAGACUCUCAUAAGGUAUACGACAAAGGUUGACUAAACUCAAUGCAGAGCAAGCAACAUAAAUGUGUAAAUGUCUUCCUAACUAAAUGUGUAUUAUAUCUAGCUUUGGUAGGAAUUAACACUUUGUCAUACAAGAGCUCAUCAUGUAGGUUUUUAGGUUUUCAAAAUAAAUCUCUAGAACUUAGUGAUGCUAGGAAUA
rnacentral:lncRNA from 1 species